ensembl:rRNA 5S_rRNA 5S ribosomal RNA
UCUACGGGCCAUACCACCUGGAACGCCUGAUUGCCCGAUAGUCUGAUCUCGGAAGCUAAGCAGGGUCGGGCCUGGUUAGUACUUGGAUGGGAUUGGGGUCCCUAACA